GUCCUUUAGAAUUUAAUUUAAGGUCUAACCUGCCCACUGAGUUUUAAAUGGCCGCAGUAAUUUGACUGUGCAAAGGUAGCAUAAUCAUUAGUUUUUUAAUUAAAAGCUUGUAUGAAAGGUUGGACGAGGUAAAGUCUGUCUCUAUUUAAUUUAAUAUAGAAUUUAACUUUUAAGUCAAAAGGCUUAAAUUUAACUAAAAGACGAGAAGACCCUAUAGAUCUUUAUAGUUUAUUUAUUAAUUUUAAUUUAGAAUUUUUAAAAUUUUAUUAAUAUAACUAUUUUAUUGGGGUAAUAUAAAGAUUAAAUUAAUUCUUUUUUUUUAUUAACAUUAAUUUAUGGUUUUUAUGAUCCAAUUUUAUUGAUUAUAAGAUUAAGUUACCUUAGGGAUAACAGCGUAAUUUUUUUAGAGAGUUCUUAUCGAUAAAAAAGUUUGCGACCUCGAUGUUGGAUUAAAGAUUAUUUUAGGUGUAGAAGCUUAAAAAUUUUGGUCUGUUCGACCAUUAAAUCUUUACAUGAUCUGAGUUCAGACCGGUGUAAGCCAGGUCGGUUUCUAUCUUUAGUAAAUUAAAAUAUUUUAGUACGAAAGGACCAAUUAUUUGAUAUAGAUAUUAUAAAUUUUUGAUUGUUAUUAA
rnacentral:rRNA from 1 species